rnacentral:lncRNA from 1 species
CAGAGGAAAAACUUCCGUGCAUAUGGUACGGAACCUGUGCUGCAACCAUGCACCGCUGAUAUCCCCGCAACGCUACGACCAGCACACGCCGCGCAUGCUGUUAUGCACAAGACGCCAAAUCAAAAAGCGAACACCAGGUCCCGGCAGCCCCACCAGCCACUGCGGCGCAUUAGACCUCAAGCUGCAUCACACGGGGUUACUUAGAUCAGGGACAGCUCCUCAGAGUUGGCGCGGGCGCCCGACUUGAGCUUGACGUAGGCCUCGUGGGUCUCCUUGAUCACGUUCAGGGUGAACUCCUUGUUCAUGCACUUGUUGUCGUAGCCAAACUUGUUGGCGGGCUUGCCGUCAGGGAUUUUGUAGUCCCGGAACCACUCCAGGACCUUCUGGAUCUCACCCGGG